UCUUCGAUCCGGUUUUAAACUUUAACGACAAGGUAAUGUUUCCUGUUUGAAAUAUCCUUGAAAAUGAGUUUUCUUGGGGUGAAAUAUGCUUACUAUUCCCUGGGAAUGACAGCUGUUGGUGCCUUCGUGGUAGCAAGCGUUUUGAAUCCUAUGUAUCACUUUGUAAAAGCAGACGAAUAUCUGAAGCUUAAAGGUUACCCCCACCCCAUACAUAAACCUUUCCGACCAGGGGGUCAUCUAGAAGGAAUGAAGGAAGUCAUUGACAAGUGGCCACACAAGGAAUGAUGGGAAAAUUUAGAUUAGCUAGUUUCUUUUAUGUCCAUAUUAGAGUGUUACACAUAUAUCAGGAAAUAAAACAGAAAAUAUGUGACUAA